rnacentral:rRNA from 1 species
GACGAACCGUGCGAACGUUAUUCGGAAUCACUGGGCUUAAAGCGCGUGUAGGCGGGACGGCACGUCGGUCGCUGAAAUCCCCCGGCUCAACCGGGGAACGGGCACCGAUACGACCGUCCUGGAGGAACGUAGGGGGACCUGGAACUUCCGGUGGAGCGGUGAAAUGCGUAGAUAUCGGAAGGAACAUCAGUGGCGAAAGCGACUUCCUGGACCAGUACCGACGUUCAGGCACGAAAGCGUGGGGAGCAAACAGG